rnacentral:rRNA from 1 species
UACGAAGGGGGCUAGCGUUGCUCGGAAUUACUGGGCGUAAAGGGCGCGUAGGCGGAUGUCUAAGUUGGGGGUGAAAUCCCGGGGCUCAACCUCGGAACCGCCUUCAAUACUGGAUAUCUUGAGUUCGGGAGAGGUGAGUGGAAUUCCUAGUGUAGAGGUGAAAUUCGUAGAUAUUAGGAAGAACACCGGUGGCGAAGGCGGCCCACUGGAUCGGUACUGACGCUGAGGUGCGAAAGCGUGGGGAGCAAACAGG